AUUGGUAGGUUAAUGCUAUCAUCAGUUAUGUGGAUUUGUCCAAUAUCCAAUGACGGUGCCAGCGAGUCUGGAAACUUAGCCCGUAAAGGUUGGGCAAACUGUUUCAUCACCGUCGUGAUUUGGAAUUAUUCCCCGUGAAGCGGGAAUUCCUGGUAAGUGCAAGUCAUAAGCUUGCUCUGAUUAUGUCCCUGCUCUUUGUACA
rfam:Schistosoma margrebowiei strain Zambia genome assembly, scaffold: SMRZ_scaffold0000289